ACUGCAGCUGGCGCUCCGCCGGACUGGACGCAGAGCUAAAUCCCGCGCGGCUCCCCGGCUUUCCUGGAGGAGUCUCGCCGAGUGUGCACGCCGCGAAGCUCACCCGUUCCUAGUGCACGACCCUGUGCUGCUGCGUGUGUGUGUGUGUGUGUGUGUGAGAGAGAGAGAGAGAGAAACGGAAUCUCACGCAGUCCCACAGGCUGGAGUGCAGUAGCGCGAUCUCGGCUCACUGCAACCUCCGUCUCCCAGGUUCAAGCGAUUCUCCAGCCUCAGACUCCCCAGUUGCUGUGACUACAGACGCGCGCCACCCGCGUCCAGCUAAUUUUUUUGUAUUUUUAAUAGAGACGGGGUUUCACCAUGUUGGCCAGGCUGGUCUCAAAACUCCAGAGCUCAGGUGAUCCGCCUGCCUCGGCCUCCGCAGUGCUGGGAUUACAGGCGUGAACCACUGCGCCCGGCCCUGCUGCUGGUUUUUUAUGGAUAGGGUUUCCCUCUGUGGCCCAGGGAGGAGUGCAGUAGCACGAGCUCGGCUCGCUGCAACCUUGACCUCCUGAGCUCAAGCGAUCCUCCCACCUCAGCCUCUGGAGGAGCUGGGAUUACAGACGCGCGCCAUCACACCCGGCUAAUUUGUUUUUAAAAUGUUUAUAGAGAAGGGGUUUCAUCAUGUUGGCCAGGCUGGUCUCGAACUCCUGAACUCAAGCAAUCCUCCCGCCUUGGCCUCCCAAAGCGCUAGGAUUACAGGCGUGAUCCGCCGCCCGGAGGGAUCCUAGGCUUCUUCGUGAAGUUGGAGUGUGCAGCCAGCAUCCCAAUCCAGUUUUCAAACAUUUCCCACCGACCUCGCAAGACUCCUCCUGCUCAGUUGCAGUCUCCCCUUCCCGCCCGGCCUGGCCACCACAGGACAAUUUUGUCUCGCUAAAUUUGCCACCUCCAGGCUUGUCCUGUCGAUGGAAUCACACAGCACCCAGUGUGUGUUCCCCACACUGACCGGGAAGCAGUGGCCCCCCGCCCCAGGCCGCAACCUCACCGCUGUCCCAGUCGAGUCUCUGCUUACAUAUCCCCUUCCUUGAGACUGUCCCUGGAGUCACAUCCUUGUUCUAUUUCCUUCACUGCACCUGCCACCAUCUGAAAUUAUCUUGUCUGUGUGUUAGUGCCAGUCUUCCCUGCUAGAAUGGAAGCUCCACCAAGGUGGGGACAUUGUUUCUGCCACUGUGGUAUCUCCAAGCCCCAGCACAUAGUAGCCACUCAAUAAAUAGUUCAUGAAUGCAUACAUAAAUGUAUAAACUUAAAAAAGUUAAAACCAUAGACACUCCAGACCCCAUUCUGCCAAACUGAGUUUUUUCCUUCUUUUAAGUACAAAAGGCGUCCUCACAAAGCCCACAAAAUCAAGCUAAAUUACCUGUCAUUUGGAAGUUUUAAAUUUAUUUUCCAUAAAUACCUGAAAUCCAAAGCUAGUUACACUAGGCUGGGUGCCCUGGCUCACUCCUGUAAUCCCUGCACUUUGGGAGGCUGAGGCAGGUGGAUCACUUGAGGUCAGGAGUUUGAGACCAGCCUGGCCAACAUGGCAAAACCCCGUCUCUACUAAAAAAAUAUAAAAAUUAGCUAGGCGUGGUGGUGGGCACCUGUAGUCCCAGCUACUCGGGAGGCUGAGGCAAGAGAAUCGCUUGAACCUGGGAGGUGGAGCUUGCAGUGAGCUGAAAUGGCAUCCCUGGACUCUAGCCUGGGCAACAGAGUGACACUCUGUUUCAAAAGAAACAACAACAACAAAAAGAUACAGUAAGAACUGUGAAGGUGAAUUCAAAGGCUGAAGUUCAGACAAUAAUUGACUCAGACCCCAGCUCCGUCAGUCCAGUACUGACCCAGAUUCCUGAGUCAGCCCUAGAGGGGUCGGGUGAAGGCCCAACACCACCACAGUACAGAUGCUGAAAUUCACGGUAUUUCCAUCAUGCAGAAACUUAGGACCUCUGCAGUGACUAGCUCAUCCCCCUAUUUGAAAGUGGACUCAGGCCGGGCGCAGUGGCUCAUGCCUGUAAUCCCAGCACUUUGGGAGGCCGAGGCGGGUGGAUCACGAGGUCAGGAGAUCGAGACCAUCCUGGCUAACACAGUGAAACUCCGUCUCUACUAAAAAUACGAAAAAUUAGCUGGGCAUGGUGGUGGGUGCCUGUAGUCCCAGCUACUCAGGAGGCUGAGGCAGGAGAAUGGCGUGAACUCGGGAGGCGGAGCUUGCAGUGAGCAAAGAUCACGCCACUGCUCUCCAGCCUGGGCAAUAGAGCAAGACUCCGUCUCAAAAAAAAAAAGAAAAAAGAAAAUGGACUUAAGACUGGAGGAAAAUUUGAAAUUGCCCCUGGGCAGGAACUCUGCAGCGAAGAUGAAACAGCACAUUUUAUGUGGUGCUGGGUAUCAGCAGGCACUAGGAAUUCGAUCAAAAAGUAUAAAAGGGAAAAUAAUUAUUUUUCAAAAUUAGGCUUAAAUAACAUAGAAAAUCCAUCUGAAACAACUAAGUUACCUGGCACACAAAGAAAACUUACAGGUGAUGUGCCAUGUGGCCACUGUAGGACCGUGGCUAAAAACAUCUAUUCCAGGGCUGGGCACAGCAGCUCAUACCUAUAAUCCCAGCACUUUGGGAGGCUAAGGCAGGUAGAUCACUUGAGCCUAAGAGUUCGAGACCAGCCUGGGUAACAUAGGGAGACCCCCUUCUCUACAAAAAAAAAAAAUACAAAAACUAGCCAGGUACAAGCCUGUGGUCCCAGCUACUUGGGAGGCUAAGGUGGGAGGAUCACUUGAGCUCAGGAGGUCGAGGCUGCAGUGAGCCGUAAUUGUGCCACUGCUCUCCAGCUCUCCAGCCUGGGUAACAGAGUAAGACCGAGUCUCAAAAAAAAAAAAAAAAAAAAAAUCCAUUCUCCCCACUGAGUGGGGUUGACUGUUCCCAUGUGACGGCCCAUGGGAGAAAUUUGUCAAGACUCAGCUAGGAAAAACUGUCCUUCAUUGAUAACCAGUUAAUUUUUAAUGAAUAGAUUUCAUAAUUCCUGUAUUAAUGAAUAGAUUUCAUAAUUCCUAUAGCUAAUCAUACUUGGGUUUUUGUAAACUGGGGUCUUGGUUGGGCAUAGUGGCUCCUGCUGGUAAUCCCAGCACUUUGGGAGGCUUAGGUGGUAGGAUCGCUAAAGCCAGGAGUUUGAGACCAGGCUGGGCAACAUAGCGAGACCCCCAUCUACUAAAAAAAAAAAAAAAAAAAAAAAAAAAAAAAAUAGCCAGGCGUGGUAGCUGUGUGCCACCUGUAGUCCCAGCUACUUGGGGGAGAAUCGCUUGAUCCCAGGUGUCUGAGUUUACAGUGAGCUAUAAUCGUGCCACUGCACUCCAGCCUGGGCAACAGAGGGAGAACCUGUCUCCAAAAAACAAAUAAAUAAAUAAUGAAUUAGGGGCCUGCUUCUGCUAAAGGCAACCUCUGGCAUGUAUUUUAGGGCUUACAUGUGCCCCUGGUUUUGUUUUACUUUUCUCUUAUUAUUUUCCUCCCGCAGCCCCCAUAUCUUUCCCCAUCAGUGAUUUUGUGUUUUUGUAUUACAUGCAUUUUUAAGGAUUUCUUAAUCCUUUCUACGGAAUAUGGGAAACAUCAAUCAACACGAAUGUAUUAAAAACUAAAGAAAAGACUGAUUCUCUCUGGUAUAAAUAAAACUCCUAUGACUUUAACUAAUUUGUGAUAAGCUAAAAUUUCUAACAUUUUUGAGUUCUUCUCAUGCAUUUUACUCAGUUCAGGCCAGCGAUGAGAAUAUUCAUUCUGCAUUGGAUAGCUACAUAUAUGAAUUAAAGUCACAGGGCACUUAAUAAAAAUUUUCUACAAAAAUAAGACAUUUCAUUUAUUAAAAUUUUAUAGAGAAGCAUACAAGACUACAACAAAUCACUGAAGUCAAGGUCUAAAGUCUUUGAGAAGUCAGAUGGACCGGACGCAGUGGCUCACGUCUGUGAUCCCAGCACUUUGGGAGGCCGAGAUCACUUCAGCCUGGGCAACAAGAGCAAAACUCCAUCUCAAAAAAAUAAAAGCCAGGUGGUUGUCUAACUAUAGGCUUUGCAUAUUCUGGUCCAGGGGUUGCUGAGGAACAAGGCCAAUGUGAGGAACAACAGCAACAGUAAGCCCUUAGCAACACACUGAGAAUGCAGCUCCCCUGAAAAACAAUGGACAAAAUUCAACAGCAGUAUUUCUUAACUCUUUUGAUAACAGUGUAGGUAUAGGCUGGGUGUGGUGGCUCACUCCUGUAAUCCUAACACUUUGGGAGGCCAAGGAGGGCGGAUCACUUGAGGCCAGUUCGAGACCAGCCUGGCCAGCACAGUGAAACCCCGUCUCUACUAAAAAUACAAAAAUAGCCAGGCAUAUUGGUGCUGUAAUCCCAGCUACUCCAAAGGCUGAGGCACGAGAGUUGUCUGAACCCAGGAGGCAAUGGUUGCAGUGAGCUGAGAUUGUGCCACUGCACUCCAGCCAGGGUGUCAGAGCAAGACUCUCUAAAAAAAAAAACAGUGUAGGUAGAAAUAAACUAAGCCAAAACAGUAAUGGUGAUCACUUCCAAGUGGCAAUAUUAUCCGUACUUUUUUUUAAGUUUCUAUAUGUUUUAUGCUUUCUGUAACAUUU
rnacentral:lncRNA from 1 species